rnacentral:rRNA from 1 species
UGAGGAAUAUUGGUCAAUGGGCGAGAGCCUGAACCAGCCAAGUCGCGUGAGGGAAGACGGUCCUAUGGAUUGUAAACCUCUUUUGCCGGGGAGCAAAAAGCGGUACGUGUACCGCAUCGAGAGUACCCGGAGAAAAAGCAUCGGCUAACUCCGUGCCAGCAGCCGCGGUAAUACGGAGGAUCCGAGCGUUAUCCGGAUUUAUUGGGUUUGAAGGAUGCGUAGGCGGUCCGUUAAGUCAGCGGUAAAAUUGCGGGGCUCAACCCCGUCGAGCCGUUGAAACUGGCGUUCUUGAGUGGGCGAGAAGUAUGCGGAAUGCGUGGUGUAGCGGUGAAAUGCAUAGAUAUCACGCAGAACUCCGAUUGCGAAGGCAGCAUACCGGCGCCCUACUGACGCUGAGGCACGAAAGCGUGGGUAUCGAACAGG